rnacentral:rRNA from 1 species
AUUGAACGCUGGCGGCAGGCCUAACACAUGCAAGUCGAGCGGCAGCGGGAAAGUAGCUUGCUACUUUUGUCGGCGAGCGGCGGACGGGUGAGUAAUGCCUGGGAAAUUGCCCAGUCGAGGGGGAUAACAGUUGGAAACGACUGCUAAUACCGCAUACGCCCUACGGGGGAAAGCAGGGGACCUUCGGGCCUUGCGCGAUUGGAUAUGCCCAGGUGGGAUUAGCUAGUUGGUGAGGUAAUGGCUCACCAAGGCGACGAUCCCUAGCUGGUCUGAGAGGAUGAUCAGCCACACUGGAACUGGGACACGGUCCAGACUCCUACGGGAGGCAGCAGUGGGGAAUAUUGCACACUGGGGGAAACCCUGAUGCAGCCAUGCCGCGUGUGUGAAGGAGGCCUUCGGGUUGUAAAGCACUUUCAGCGAGGAGGAAAGGUAGAUGCCUAAUACGUAUCAACUGUGACGUUACUCGCAGAAGAAGCACCGGCUAACUCCGUGCCAGCCGCCGCCGUAAAAC